GGCUUUUGUGAUGAUGUGGUGUUGCUGUCCAUCUCUGCUUAGUGGGAAGACAGCAGGGCCAGCAGGAGCCCCCAGAGAGGUGCAGGGACUCCUGCUGUCUGGGGCCAUCAGAGCCCACCGGGACCACAGCUCACCUCAGUUCUUUGGCUUCCCAUUCAAGGAGAAAUGCAGAGCAACCGCCUAUGCUGGCAACCUCCCGUUCUGAUUUACCCUCCUCCUUCUCACAUGUAUGCCUCUUCUUUAAGAACUAGGGUUCUGCCACUGUGGACUUACACCCACGAGCUCUUCAUGGCCAUUCUGCCCUUGUUGUUUUCUCCUCUCCCUUUUCUCUUUUUCUGCCUGAACAGGUUUGGAUUAGACAAGACCUCCCUGAAUGUACACAAUGCCUCUGCCAAUGCACAAAUACGCUAGAGAAUUCUGAGUUUCCACAACAUUUUUUAUAUGAUUUGACCAGACUGGUACAAGGUUAAUUAAAAAAAAAAUGUUUAAAUGUGGUUUCAUCAGAACUGUAAAAUGCUUCUGCAAGAAUCUCUGUCAGGACUUCAUAAAGGUGAUAGUGUACUUUAACUGGCAAAGCACAAUUAGACACAGUCAAAUAUUGUCGUGGUUAAAGACUAUUAAUUUUCCUUACAUUUGUCAUGAAUUAAUUUUUUUCUGGCUAUAUAAACAGUGUUUCCUUUAUGAAUACAACUGCUUCCUUUACAUUGAAAAAUUAAAUUUGCUUUGAUAAUGAACUGAGUUGCUAAUAAUCAUUUUGCAAUGCAAAGAAGUGCAAUUACUGGCUGUCGUGCCUCACAGUGCCCCAGCCAGUUGUAACUAUCUGAAAGUCGGCUUCUCUACCAGUGAACACCGCCAAGCAUUACGUGGGGCCAAGAGACAAAACCCAGGCCAGCUGGGUGGUGGUGCAGAGCCAGGGGCCCGCAUGCUCUCAGUUGGCACCGCCUGUGCCCCAAGCACACGCAGCUGGAAGCCAGGGGGGAUGCACAGCUGUGCCAUGGUCCCUGUGAGAUGCACUAAGCAGGUUUCUGCUUUGCCAAGGUCACCCCUCCAGCUGGCUGUGGGGCUUUUUGUGCCACUGCUGGUUUUCCCACUGCUGCAGUGGUUCUCCUACCUGGGAAGCACUGCUGAGGGAGAGGCAAACUGUUUGGACAUCUUCAUCCAUGCCAGAGGACACAAGCAGAGGUGA
rnacentral:lncRNA from 1 species